GGAUGCUAAUACCGCAUACGUCCUACGGGAGAAAGCAGGGGAUCUUCGGACCUUGCGCUAAUAGAUGAGCCUAAGUCGGAUUAGCUAGUUGGUGGGGUAAAGGCCUACCAAGGCGACGAUCUGUAGCGGGUCUGAGAGGAUGAUCCGCCACACUGGGACUGAGACACGGCCCAGACUCCUACGGGAGGCAGCAGUGGGGAAUAUUGGACAAUGGGCGCAAGCCUGAUCCAGCCAUGCCGCGUGUGUGAAGAAGGCCUUAUGGUUGUAAAGCACUUUAAGCGAGGAGGAGGCUACUUUAGAUAAUACCUAGAGAUAGUGGACGUUACUCGCAGAAUAAGCACCGGCUAACUCUGUGCCAGCAGCCGCGGUAAUACAGAGGGUGCAAGCGUUAAUCGGAUUUACUGGGCGUAAAGCGCGCGUAGGCGGCUAAUUAAGUCAAAUGUGAAAUCCCCGAGCUUAACUUGGGAAUUGCAUUCGAUACUGGUUAGCUAGAGUGUGGGAGAGGAUGGUAGAAUUCCAGGUGUAGCGGUGAAAUGCGUAGAGAUCUGGAGGAAUACCGAUGGCGAAGGCAGCCAUCUGGCCUAACACUGACGCUGAGGUGCGAAAGCAUGGGGAGCAAACAGGAUUAGAUACCCUGGUAGUCCAUGCCGUAAACGAUGUCUACUAGCCGUUGGGGCCUUUGAGGCUUUAGUGGCGCAGCUAACGCGAUAAGUAGACCGCCUGGGGAGUACGGUCGCAAGACUAAAACUCAAAUGAAUUGACGGGGGCCCGCACAAGCGGUGGAGCAUGUGGUUUAAUUCGAUGCAACGCGAAGAA
rnacentral:rRNA from 1 species